UCCGGUAUAGUGUAGGGGUUAACAUAACCCGCUUUCACCGGGUAGCCCCGGGUUCGAUUCCCGGUACCGGAA
rnacentral:tRNA from 1 species